GAUUACGCGUUAACGAUGGAAACGGCAUCCUUUUUGGCUUUCAUCCUGUCUAAAGGACUCCUGUGGAGAGCGCAGCCGAAAGAAAGCCAAAAAGAUACAGUGUACAGCGUGUUAAAAC
rnacentral:sRNA from 2 species